CAGUCGCCGCGGGAAUACGUAGGGCGCAAGCGUUGUCCGGAAUUAUUGGGCGUAAAGAGCUCGUAGGCGGUCUGUCGCGUCUGGUGUGAAAUCCCGAGGCUCAACCUCGGGCUUGCAUCGGGUACGGGCAGACUAGAGUGCGGUAGGGGAGACUGGAAUUCCUGGUGUAGCGGUGGAAUGCGCAGAUAUCAGGAGGAACACCGAUGGCGAAGGCAGGUCUCUGGGCCGCAACUGACGCUGAGGAGCGAAAGCAUGGGGAGCGAACAGGAUUAGAUACCCCAGUAGUCCCUGUCUCUUAUAU
rnacentral:rRNA from 1 species